rnacentral:rRNA from 1 species
GACGAACGCUGGCGGCGUGCUUAACACAUGCAAGUCGAACGGAAAGGCCCCUUUGGGGGUUCUCGAGUGGCGAACGGGUGAGUAACACGUGAGUAACCUGCCCUUGACUUCGGGAUAACUUCAGGAAACUGGGGCUAAUACCGGAAAGGAAUCCUUGCUGCAUGGUGGGGGUUGGAAAGCUUCGGCGGGUUUGGAUGGAAUCGCGGCUUAUCAGCUUGUUGGUGGGGUAGUGGCUUACCAAGGCUUUGACGGGUAGCCGGCCUGAGAGGGCGACCGGCCACAUUGGGACUGAGAGACGGCCCAGACUCCUACGGGAGGCAACAGUGGGGAAUAUUGCACAAUGGGCGGAAGCCUGAUGCAGCAACGCCGCGGGCGGGAUGACGUCCUUCGGGUUGUAAACCGCUUUCAGCAGGGGCGAAGCUUGUGGUGACGGUACCUGCAGAAGAAGCACCGGCUAACUACGUG